UCUCUUACACACACUCUCUCUCUCUCUCUCUCUCUCUCUCUCUCUAUAUAUAUAUAUAUAUAUAUAUAUAUAUAUAGAGAGAGAGAGAGAGAGAGAGAGAGAGAGAGUAAAUGAAACAG
rnacentral:miRNA from 1 species